rnacentral:lncRNA from 1 species
UAUAUGAUGGUUUUGGUCCCCAAGCUCAACAACUCGAAAUACAAAAUACACCAUCUAGUUAGAGUGUUGAGAGCUUGGAAGUGUCAUUACCUGGAACAAAGGAGAGCUUCUGGAGUGACAUCAAUGGCUGGAGGUAUGGAUUUGAUCCCUGUGAUCUUCCGAAUUUUCGAUCCAACUAGUUUCCACAUAUUUGUUCUGGAUCGAUUUUUCUAACAAAUUCUACUUAAUCUAACACCUAAAUUCCAAAAUGCUACUCCAAAGUUCUAUUAAUUUACAUUUAUUCCCCUUCUAGUUUCAUCAACUUAACUUAUAUGACGUAUCGACCAAGAUACUUAAUAUUUGAUGUCUCAUUAGUUCAUUUAUAACUUGUAGCAAAAGGAUAAGGAUUCGUGGGGGUGCCUUGAUGCAAGUCUACUGCUUCCCUAUUGGAAAUCACAUCCAUACUAAGUAGUCAUGAAUAACCUCGACAGUAUUGUAUAUCGCAUUUAAACUUCAUUAUUCUAUAGCACACACCACAAUCAAUAGGCUCUCUACUAGUAAUCUAGAAAUAGAAAGAAAUUAUGUGCAAAAUAUCCAGAAUGUUUAAUGACAAAAAAUGUACAUACAUGUUGCUUUCUUCCUUCAAGAUUGUAUCAGGUAUAUUCCCGCUCAGCAUGUUGCCAGUAACGAACCUGUUUACAAAAAUAUCAUAGUAAGUAAGCAAGUAGUGGGUAAGGUAGUGUCCUGUUUUAUCUCACAUUUACUGUAAAACUGCAAACACUGACUGUCAAAACCAACCAAAUGAAGCAAAAGAAUUUAAGUUGGACUCACACAGUUUUCAAAUUUCUUGCAUUGGCUCUUGAAAUCUCCCCCUCUAACUUAUUGAAACUGACAUCGCUGUUCAUAAAUAAGAGAGGAGACAUUCUAUAAACA